rnacentral:lncRNA from 1 species
GGAAGAAAAAUGGCGUGAGGCCCUCCUCCCCGCCUUGAUGAUGGAGAAGCAGUCACACACACUGGAGCACAAAGGAAUCACCACUGUCACACAGACAACACGAAGGUGCCUGUUCCAGACUCGUGGAGAGGAGCUUCCUCCCACUCACCAGCCAGCAAGGCUCUGAAGAAGCCAGACCCUCUCCCAUGGGAGAAGACAGCUGCACUACGAGGCCCUGCCAUCAGCCCUGUCACUCAGGCUCCGCCAUGCCCACGAACAGAUGCCUGCUCUCAGCCCUAAUGCACUGUGGACCUAAUCAGCUCUUAGAUUAUCAAAGCAGCUGUUGCCAUAGAAAGAAAUGCAAUGUCAUUAGCUCUGCACUGAUUACUUUGGAUGUGAGCAAGACAGCACAGUGAAGAAGAGUUCAGAGGUCUGUAGGAUAUUUAUUUUGAAACCAAUGCAUCUUCUACAUCUACAAACUUGAAAUCUCUUCCCUCCCCCCCCCAAUAACCUGGGACCAAAUUUUUCAAGAUGUUUAACACCUAAAACUCAGAAAGUUCUUAGUAUAAUUCCUUUGAUUCCAAUAUAUUGAUAUCAUGUCCUACAGGUUCACAGUGAUACUUAAAAAUACCCUGAAUGCUCUUGACAAUGCACUGAGUGCCUGUCUGCAGCUCUGGGUGCCUGCACUUCGGAGAAUUUGUCCUUCCUGCAUCAUUAUUCAGUAGCCAUGGAAAGAGAUAGCCUCCAUCAAAUUCCCCUAAACAGAUGUUUAUGUGAAAGAUCCUGCUGUCCAACAGGCACUAACUGGCAAGCCAAUAGGCAGUCCCAGCAGUAAGACCAGUGGUUCAAUGGGAUCAGAGACAAUUAACACACUAGGGAUUAAUUUUCCUUCUGGCUUUGCUGAAUUGAGAUUCACAGAUCACAGCAUUUUUGCAAUGAGAAUUACUGAACAGGACAAAAGUACUCAAAAUUAUUCAUCUAAUUUCACAUUUUACUAGAAAACCUAGAAAGAAAAAGAAAAAAAAAAGGAAAAUCUCUUCUGAUCACUUGAAAUACUUUAGACCAAAGAAAUAUAUUAGAGAAAGAAAAAAUGAGACAAAGCCAGACUUCAGCUUCACCCAAUCACAUAAAGAAUAUGAGGUUUAAUAAUGCCUGAAUGUUUCUAGUCUCAUCUCUACUGCUGCAUGUCGUUGUGAUGCUAGCACUCGAUAAAUAAUAAAUUAUACUACUGCUGCUUGUGAGUGACCUGG